GUUGUAACUCAGUGGUAGAGCAUUUGCCUGUCAUGUAUGGGGCCCUGGGUUUGAUCCUCAGUAUCACA
rnacentral:tRNA from 1 species